rnacentral:rRNA from 2 species
AGAAGGCUAUGUUGGCCGGGCGACGGUUGUCCCGGUUUAAGCGUGUAGGCUGGUUUUCCAGGCAAAUCCGGAAAACCAAGGCUGAGGCGUGAUGACGAGGCACUACGGUGCUGAAGCGACAAAUGCCCUGCUUCCAGGAAAAGCCUCUAAGCAUCAGGUAACAUCAAAUCGUACCCCAAACCGACACAGGUGGUCAGGUAGAGAAUACCAAGGCGCUUGAGAGAACUCGGGUGAAGGAACUAGGCAAAAUGGUGCCGUAACUUCGGGAGAAGGCACGCUGAUAUGUAGGUGAAGCGACUUGCUCGUGGAGCUGAAAUCAGUCGAAGAUACCAGCUGGCUGCAACUGUUUAUUAAAAACACAGCACUGUGCAAACACGAAAGUGGACGUAUACGGUGUGACGCCUGCCCGGUGCCGGAAGGUUAAUUGAUGGGGUUAGCGGUAACGCGAAGCUCUUGAUCGAAGCCCCGGUAAACGGCGGCCGUAACUAUAACGGUCCUAAGGUAGCGAAAUUCCUUGUCGGGUAAGUUCCGACCUGCACGAAUGGCGUAAUGAUGGCCAGGCUGUCUCCACCCGAGACUCAGUGAAAUUGAACUCGCUGUGAAGAUGCAGUGUACCCGCGGCAAGACGGAAAGACCCCGUGAACCUUUACUAUAGCUUGACACUGAACAUUGAGCCUUGAUGUGUAGGAUAGGUGGGAGGCUUUGAAGUGUGGACGCCAGUCUGCAUGGAGCCGACCUUGAAAUACCACCCUUUAAUGUUUGAUGUUCUAACGUUGGCCCGUAAUCCGGGUUGCGGACAGUGUCUGGUGGGUAGUUUGACUGGGGCGGUCUCCUCCUAAAGAGUAACGGAGGAGCACGAAGGUUGGCUAAUCCUGGUCGGACAUCAGGAGGUUAGUGCAAUGGCAUAAGCCAGCUUGACUGCGAGCGUGACGGCGCGAGCAGGUGCGAAAGCAGGUCAUAGUGAUCCGGUGGUUCUGAAUGGAAGGGCCAUCGCUCAACGGAUAAAAGGUACUCCGGGGAUAACAGGCUGAUACCGCCCAAGAGUUCAUAUCGACGGCGGUGUUUGGCACCUCGAUGUCGGCUCAUCACAUCCUGGGGCUGAAGUAGGUCCCAAGGGUAUGGCUGUUCGCCAUUUAAAGUGGUACGCGAGCUGGGUUUAGAACGUCGUGAGACAGUUCGGUCCCUAUCUGCCGUGGGCGCUGGAGAACUGAGGGGGGCUGCUCCUAGUACGAGAGGACCGGAGUGGACGCAUCACUGGUGUUCGGGUUGUCAUGCCAAUGGCACUGCCCGGUAGCUAAAUGCGGAAGAGAUAAGUGCUGAAAGCAUCUAAGCACGAAACUUGCCCCGAGAUGAGUUCUCCCUGACUCCUUGAGAGUCCUGAAGGAACGUUGAAGACGACGACGUUGAUAGGCCGGGUGUGUAAGCGCAGCGAUGCGUUGAGCUAACCGGUACUAAUGAACCGUGAGGCUUAACCUU